rnacentral:tmRNA from 1 species
GGGGCUGACUUGGAUUUCGACAGAUUUCUUGUCGCACAGAUAGCAUGCCAAGCACUGCUUGUAAAACAGCAAUAAAAAUAACUGUAAACAACACAGAUUACGCUCCAGCUUACGCUAAAGCUGCGUGAGUUAAUCUCCUUUUGGAGCUGGACUGAUUAGAAUUUCUAGUGUUUUAAUCACUCCAUAACCUUAAGCUAGACGCUUUUAAAAGGUGGUUCGCCUUUUAAACUAAGAAACAAGAACUCUUGAAACUACCUCAAGGUUUUAGAAAGUUGGACCAGAGCUAGUUUUAAGGCUAAAAAACUAACCAAUUUUCUAAGCAUUGUAGAAGUUUGUGUUUAGGGCAAGAUUUUUGGACUGGGGUUCGAUUCCCCACAGCUCCACCA